UACGUAGGGGGCAAGCGUUGUCCGGAUUUAUUGGGCGUAAAGAGCGUGUAGGCGGUCAGGUAGGUCCGUUGUGAAAACUCGAGGCUCAACCUCGAGACGCCGAUGGAAACCAUCUGGCUAGAGUCCGGAAGAGGAGAGUGGAAUUCCGUGGUGUGAGCGGUGAAAUGCGCAGAUAUCAGGAAGAACACCCGUGGCUAAGGCGGCUCUCUAGUACGGUACUGACGCUGAGACGCGAAAGCGUGGGGAGCGAACAGG
rnacentral:rRNA from 1 species